CACCCACACCUUUUUGCUAACCAACAGGAAUCUCGAGGACGAGAUUCAUCUUAAGGGGGUUAGGUCUGUAACAUCCCAAUUUUCAAAACCCUUCAUAUGCAUUGCAUAUUAUAAGCAUCAUGUCACACUUGCAUUUAAUCACAUUUGAAAACCCUGAAAUUUACCCAGAAAACCCCUAUUCAAAUGUGCUUUUAUUUGAUUUUGGGCUUUGAUCUUGCUUUUGAGCAUUUUGUAUUUUAACCCGUUAAGGUUUUGGUAUAAAAAAGGAUUUAAUGCAUAUAUAUAGCUAUCCCAUAAGUUUGCUUUUGAAAUUAUUUUGAAAAACAAUUAUUUUGAGGAAAUUCUUGUUCCAGAAGUUAGAUCAUGUGAAAAUAUGAUUUUACAAAUUUUGUUGCAAUUUAUUUGGAGUGAUUUGGAGCUCUAAAUCAAAAGUUGUGUUCAAAAUCAGAAAAUAGAAAAAAGAAAAGAAAAACCGAAGCCGAACCGGACCGGACCGGCCGAACCGGACCGACCGGCCAAGCCCGCGCCCGAACCGCCCAGUCACUGACCGGUGGGACCCCCACCAUCGUCUUCCUCCAACUGCUACCCGAGAAGCCCGGCCACGCACGAGUCCACGUUCGUCCGAGCCGCGCACGACCCCCUCGCGUUUUCUCCGCACACGAGCCGCAAUCCCCGAAACCUUGCGCGUCAUCUUGAGCCCCUCUCGUUUCUCCUUCACUUCCCCCGAACCGUCUCCCCGAUUUCGCGCUGGUGAUUCACUAAUUUCUCACCGGAG
rnacentral:lncRNA from 1 species